rnacentral:lncRNA from 1 species
AUGCCAUGGAGCCACCGCCUGUCAGACCGGGAACCGGCCCCGUGGCUCAGCAACAGCAUGUCCAUCCCCAGCUCGGAGCAGAACAGAACCAAAGUUAAGAGAGCGACAAGUGGACUCUACCAUCUCUGUCUCCAUCCGGGGCACCUGAAGAAGCUGGGCUGUUUGACAUGUGGCUUCCCCUGUCUGGAAUGCGCGGGCCACGUCCACAUGAACAUGCUGGGAAGUAGCCGGUCAGGAGGCCGUCAGGCCCACUGCCUCUUCUGUGCCGUCAGCCACCACUGCUUCUCAAUGCCUGGGGGUAUGUUAGUUCUUCAGAAGUUACAAAGUGGUAACAUUCUAAUUAGAUCAUCUCUUCCUCUUAAAUUGGAAUAUAUCCAUUAAAGGCAUGAAAAAAAAAAAGAAAACCCAACUUUCCUUCAUCAGUGGUAUAAUAUGUAGUAAAGACAGGAUGCUCAUAUCAUUCCUUUUAGUUAUCAAUUUUCAAAAUAAUGA